GACGUAGGGCGCGAGCGUUGUCCGGAUUUAUUGGGCGUAAAGAGCUCGUAGGCGGCUUGUCGCGUCGACUGUGAAAUCCCGCGGCUCAACUGCGGGUCUGCAGUCGAUACGGGCAGGCUAGAGUUCGGUAGGGGAGACUGGAAUUCCUGGUGUAGCGGUGAAAUGCGCAGAUAUCAGGAGGAACACCGAUGGCGAAGGCAGGUCUCUGGGCCGAUGCUGACGCUGAGGAGCGAAAGCGUGGGGAGCGAACAGG
rnacentral:rRNA from 1 species